GAAGAACCAUUCGUGUAUUUUCGCGGCGGCGGCAGAGGAGAAGGCGUAGAAUGUAGAGGAGGCUCUAACAAUCACGUCUGAAAAACCAUUGGAAUUUGCUAAACUGGAAGAGAAGAACCUGUUCGAUGGAUUGCCACAGAGGUGUGAUGAGAGAGGAGCUUCGAACUUGAAAGCGCUUAGAGCAGAGAGCCGAAGGCGCCUUGGUGGACAACCGUAACCGGAGAGGCUGCGAGGUAGAGAGAGAAG